rnacentral:tRNA from 1 species
GCGCCGCUACCCCAACGGCAGAGGGGCCUGUUUCAGAAACAGGUGAGGUCCGGGUUCAAAUCCCGGGUGGCGUACCA